rnacentral:rRNA from 1 species
UACAGAGGGUGCAAGCGUUGUUCGGAAUUAUUGGGCGUAAAGAGCUCGUAGGCGGUCUGUCGCGUCUGCUGUGAAAACUCGGGGCUUAACCCCGGGCCUGCAGUGGGUACGGGCAGACUAGAGUGCGGUAGGGGAGACUGGAAUUCCUGGUGUAGCGGUGAAAUGCGCAGAUAUCAGGAGGAACACCGGUGGCGAAGGCGGGUCUCUGGGCCGUAACUGACGCUGAGGAGCGAAAGCAUGGGGAGCGAACAGG